rnacentral:rRNA from 1 species
CAGUAAGGAAUAUUGCGCAAUGGGCGAAAGCCUGACGCAGCGACGCCGCGUGGGGGAUGAAGGUCUUCGGAUUGUAAACCCCUUUCGGGAGGGAAGAUGGAGCGAGCAAUCGUUCGGACGGUACCUCCAGAAGCAGCCACGGCCAACUUCGUGCCAGCAGCCGCGGUAAUACGAAGGUGGCAAGCGUUGUUCGGAUUCACUGGGCGUACAGGGUGUGUAGGCGGUUUGGUAAGCCUUCUGUUAAAGCUUCGGGCCCAACCCGGAAAGCGCAGAGGGUACUGCCAGGCUAGAGGGUGGGAGAGGAGCGCGGAAUUCCCGGUGUAGCGGUGAAAUGCGUAGAGAUCGGGAGGAAGGCCGGUGGCGAAGGCGGCGCUCUGGAACAUACCUGACGCUGAGACACGAAAGCGUGGGGAGCAAACAGGAUUAGAUACCCUGGUAGUCCACGCCCUAAACUAUGGAUACUAAGUGUCGGCGGGUUACCGCCGGUGCCGCAGCUAACGCAUUAAG